rnacentral:misc_RNA from 1 species
AUAUCACUGGACUAAGAAAUGGAGACAUCGAAGUCACGUGGGCUGAUGGGAUGAUAUCCCUGGUUGGGCCUCAAGCAAUUUAUGUUGUUGAUCGUGAUGAUGAUGAGUCUAUUGUGGCUGGAAGUGAUGUUGGUGAUGAUGUAGCUAGCUGGGAAACAGUUGAAGAUCAUGAAAGGGAGACUCUUGGGAACGUAGAAGAGGAACUUGGAACAACAAAUGCUACUGACAUCAGUAUUGAAGAUGAAGAUGGUGCCAUGGCCACUGAAGAUUCAGGAAGGAACGGGGCUCUGUCUAUUCCCCUGGCUGCACUAGGAUUUGUGACCAGGCUGGCCUCUGGAAUUUUUUCUAGGGGCCGCAAACAGACUGAUUCUUCGAGUUUAGAUUCCAGAAGUGAAGAUGAAGAAAG